rnacentral:lncRNA from 1 species
GUAUACCUCCACUAGGGGCUCUAAGCAUAUUACUGGCCGUAGAAGUGGUAGAAAAGGAAUAUAUGCCCAAUAUAAUUGUUUCAGCAGUUACUGGGGGGGGGGGGGGUGGGGGGAGUACUCAUAGCAAUGGUGAGCACAGCCGUCAUAGCUAUUAUUAGAUUAUUCAUCAUAGCUGGUCAUUCCGCCACCUUCAGAUUUUCUUCUCCCAUCUUUGUCAACUUCUUGAUGUGGCCCCAGGAAGAAGUCAUAGAAAUUCCUCUUAAAGAAUUGGCACUAAUUUCUCAGCAUGCAGAGAUCCUUCAGGGACCAAGGUUCUCAUGGUUGUCUGCUUCGUGAUUGAAAUGGAUGUAGAACCCAGCUGUUUUGAGAGCCACUCAUGAUGGUAGCAGUGCCCAUACCGCUAACACUCCACUCCCAGCUGGCUGGAUAUCAAGUCUUUCAGCUUCCUCUGACAGUGGACGUGUGUGAUGGAAGCCUCUGGGCUCCAGAGUGUCUGCUGGAGUAAUCACUGGGGCAGUCAGAACAAUAGUCCCUGAGCUCCUCUUAUCUUCCUCUGCUCAUGUUGAGGUCUCUAGAUGACUUCACUUCCUGUCAAUGUCCUUCCCUUCUUAAACCACCAUGAGUUUGCAUAUUCCACUUCUAUCUACCAAGAACACUCUAGUUCAUGACUGUCACUCAAGGAGGCUUUCAAAUUAAGAUUCACAAGUUUGCUGGCUCUGAAGUUUAGAGGCAAUCUUUAGCUUGAAGAAUCCCACCUGAAGGUUUAGGGAGAUAUAAGGACAGACAUAAAUGUAAAUAACGGCAAGUAGAUAGGAGUGUCUAGAACUUGGAGAGCUGAGAUAAUCUUGUAGAGGGUGCACUUCAUUCCAACUGAAUUCAAGACUACAUCCUCUAUAUGCAUCACAGGAACUGAGUCACACAAAAGAGUGCAGUUAUGGAAUUUGUGCUGUGGAAGCUGAUGCCCUGGAGAAUGAGAAAUGGACCUCAGCUUGGCACUGACAUGGAGAGAGAUGUCUGUCACUUGAUCUUUUUGUUGCCUAAAACUUGUGACUCAAACCAUCUGUGUGGAUGCACAAUGCCAGGAAAGGUCUAGGUAAUUCAGUAGCUGUGUAUCUCACUGGCUUUAGAGUGUAUUUAAGAUAGGCUUCUCCCUUACUCAUGAUUCUCACCUUCAAAGAGCAACUCAGUUUGCAUGACGAGGUAGUCAGAGUUGAUUCGAUCCCUGCGUGGUAUGAACUGCUCCAGGCAGGAAUGCUUUCCUGAACUCUUCUGAUGAGGUCCUUGUGUUGCAUCACUGUUCUCUAACCUGUAUGAAAGUGUGCAUAUGUGGAUAUUUUUCCUAAAUGAGCUCCUGGGGCUUCUGAAUGUCCUGGCUCUUUCCCUGUCACUGAGGGACAUCCUUUUCACCAUUAUGUCCUGGGACUUGCACCACAGCCAUCGUGUCCUCAUGCAGUACAGCCCAGUGUGGGUCUGAAUGGCCUUCAUGACUUCACAUAGGCUACAUGUGGCCCAAUAGCAUCCUAUCUGGGCAGAGGCUGAGAGAACCUGCCCUCAUGCUGCUUGUGGGUGAGUCCUUGGAGGACCGAUUGCUGGCUCCUUUGCUGUGACCCCUGCACUGCUGACAGCUGUCCCAGCGUGUAUUUGACUUCAACAUGUCAAACUGACUAUACGUUAGUUCCACUUACUAACAUAGCACUUUCUGUUAAGACUUUACAUUUCUAGAGCCUUCUAGGAAACGUGCUUAACCAUACUACAUAGCUUAGUUGAUAGACAUUUAUCAUGACUAAAUUAACACUGACAUUUGUAGAAUUCCUAAUCUUUAAAGAAUUCCUGGUCUUAUUUUAGGUCCAGGAGUCCAUGUGCGGGACAUGUUGUAGGUAAGCUGUGUUGUGGGAUUGGUAUACAGAUAAUUGUCACCUGGGUAAUACAUGUAAUAUCAAUGGGUAUUUCUUAUCCUCCACCCUCAAGUAGGCCUCAGUGUAUGUUGUUCCCCUCCCAGUAUCUGUGGUCAUCUUGUUUGGCCUCCCAUGUAAAAAGAACAUAUGUAUUUGUUUUUUCACUUCUGUGUUAGCACAUCUAGAGGAAUGGUUUCCAGCUCCAUAUUGCUGCAAAGGACAUGACCUCAUUCCUUUCUAUGGCUUCAUAGUAUUCCACGGUGUAUAUGUACCACAUUGUCUCUAUCCAGUCUACCAUCUGUGGGCAUUUAGGUCGAUUCUGUGUUUUUGAUAUUGAAAAUAAUGCUGGAAUGAAUAGACACAUGCCUGUCUUCAUGGCAGAACUGAUACAGGACAGGUAAGGCCCAGAAUUGGGGCUUAGCCCAGAAGGGGUUUUUGGCUUCAUCCAGGAAAGAAUUCAAGGGUGAGCCAAUGGUAUUAGACAGCUACUGUUAUGGAGGUGGCAGGAUAGGAUACAGCAGUGGCAGAGGGUAUAGCUCCUGGUGGAGCAGGGCUUAUCCCAUAGGCAGUGAGCCCAGAGUAGCAGCUCACAGGCACUUCUGUACUCAUACCCCCUUUUACUAUAUGCAAAUCAAGGGGUGGAUUACACAGAAUUUCCAGGAAAAAGGGUGGUAACUUCUAGGUGGUGAGGCUGUUGCCACGGAAGCGGGUGCUAACUUCUGGGCAUUGCCUUGGCAACAGUAAACUGACAUGGCACACUCGGGGUGUCUUAUGGAAAGUUGCUUCUGCUAGCCCUGUCCCUAUCUUCAAAUUGGUCCAGUGUCUGAGCACCAUCACCUGCCUCAGAAUGAUUUUAUAUUUCUUUGACAUAUACUUAAAUGGGAUUGCUGGGUUGAAGGGUAAUUAAGUUCUUUGAGGAAUUGCCACACUACUUUCCACAAUAAAGUAAUUGACACUCCUACCAGCAGUGGAUAAGAGUUCCCUUUACUCACAAUCUCAACUAGUAUCUUACUUUGACUUAGCAGCCAUUUUGACUUGACUGGUAUAAGAUGACAUCUCAUUGUGACAUUCUGACCACAAACCAAUGGCCACGGGAAACAACACUGAGACCAUGAAGACAUCCUGCUUUUCAAUAAACUUACCUUUAAGAAUUCUUCCCCCAACCUAGUAAGUCUAUAUCAUGAUUACAAGCCUUCCAACUCCCUCUGGUGUAUUAUUUUUUUUUCUCUGGAGGGUGGAAAAAUCCCUACUUGUAAUUAAAACAAUGUUGCAACCUCACUAAACACAGAACAAAUAAAAAUCAGUUGCAAGAGUGACAGGGCUAGAAAUCUAGGAAGUACACAAAUCAAACUCAGUUGGAUACAUCAAAUAUGAGCAGCUUUGUCAUGCCUAAAUGAAGUAAUUUUAAAAAACAAUUCAUACUACCAAUUAAAAUGGACCAUGCAAAAGAAAAUCAUGCUUGCACAUGAUGAAAACGUUUAUAUACACACAAGCUACGUAUUUGAGAAGCAAUCUUAAACACUGAACAGCAGAAAUGCACAAGAAUAUGUGGAAAUAGUAUGGGUUUUUUUAUCCUGAGUCAAACCACAAAGGUUUCAGGUUAGAAAUUUUGAAGUGUCUUGAAUAUUAACCAUCGUGUGUUUUGGGUGGGGAGGGAAAGACUUAAUAGCUUCUUUAUGCCUUGUAAAUUUCAAAUUGUGAUGUAUUUUAACUGGAAUGGCACAAUUCCCACAGUCAGCAGUUUGCCCGUGCUGGUCAGAAUAUUAUUGCUUCAUUCCAUUCCUUCACAAUGCUCAGCUGAGGGAAGGUACCCCCUUAAAAGCCGUUUGUACUUUAUAAGUCAUUUGUACUUCAGAAGGGGAUGUAAUUUGAGUGACUUUCCCUGCCUGAAUUAAUAGGAACUUGAAGUAUUUCCAUUUUCAAACACCAGUCUGUGUCUCAAACCAUAAAGCACACUGGUGGGUUGCAGAUGUUAGCCUAAGACCUUCAGCAGUGCCUGUUGCAUGGCCUCGUCAGCAGGUCCGUGGUCAGUGGCACCGCAGAAUUGACAGCCUUUCUGCCAUUAAGUACUGCAGAUGGGCCCCUUUUCCUGGGGCUGUGCUCCUGCCGGAGGCUUUCCAUUAAGACAUCAUUCCUUGUACGUUUAGGGCAAGAUAUACUGUCUUUAAGGUAUAGGUGUGGAAUACAGGGAACAAGAAGAGUACACUGUUACCUUCCUGUUUCCUGGAACCCAGGCUUGUGCAGCAUGAAACUGGAGGUGAACAACCACCUGUGUCUGCAGGGAGACGUCUCCUGUGCACUACACACCCUCUAACACCGUAGGCCUCCUGUGGAGAUUCUGCUGUUUCUGGUGUCCAGGUCCUGGCUGAUUGUGUCCCAGAAGGCCAGCAAAGCCUCUAGGGCAGAAGUUGUCAUGAAAACUGUAUGAACCCCCUCAAGGAGAGCAGCAGAAUGGUCCAGGGCUGGCAACACCACCUUGAGGAAGAGCCACUUUAGAGAAUCCUUUGACCCUUUGCAGGGACAUUUCCACCUCAUCCAUCUCAGACUUCCAUAAUGACUUCGAGAUUCUGGUCUCUUCUGUCCUAGGAACAUCCUUUCACCUUUCAGUAGUGAAGACAAUCAGGUGUUUAUGCAUCUAACUUCUGACCUAUAUCUAGCUCUAAAUCUUCAUGCUGGGCUCAAUGUCCCAGUAAAGCAAGUUAACGGUGGCAAUCUUAAGGAUGAUAGAAUUGCUAUCUUCCAGGAUUUCGGGCUGUCUUUGGCUUCUGCCCUCUUCGGACAGCAUUCUGUCACUUGUGACAGAUUCUUCAUUGGGUCCCCUUUGCUGAUUUUUUUGGUAAGGCAAUUGUGCUAGGAUUAGAAGCCUGCUGUCCUUCAGUUUCUGACAUUUGUUUGAAUUUUGUAUUCCUGUAUUCUCCCCUUGAUGUGUCUGUUCUGUUCCUUGCUCCUUGCUUUCUCCAUACUCAGAAAUGAAACUUGAACACCUUUUCCAACUCACCGUGCUGGUAGGUGUAUCUGUAGGCAUUCUCUUCAAACCUCCAGGUAUUGUGUACCACGCAGAUGUUACAGCAUAAGAUAGACCGUAAAAGCCAACCUGUAUCUGUCCCAGAAGUCAUUGCUAAAGCAGGAAGGCCCACAUGGAAAAGAUGAUGGCAAUCCUGGAUGAGUGUUUUAGUCUUUUCCAGAGAUCUGCCAUUAGCUGUGGGUCGAUCGUGUCCUAUGAUGUGCUAUAGUGUCCCAGAUAGCAGAGAGGCUAGUGUGAGGUGGGUGUGACUGAGUGUGAGUUUCCAGCCCAGGGUGCUGGCAGAUCAGGAGUGAUGGUGGAUGGGCUCAAGAGCCCUAUUCAUGGGAGUGGACUCUUAGCAGGCUUUCUGCAGAGCCCAAGAUAAGAGAUGGCCCUGAGCUGACCUCUGGUCUCUCAGUGAUGUGUCAUACUGUGCCUAAUGAAUCACUGGAUAUAAAUGUCCCCAUGACCCAAAUGGAUCUUGACAUCUUCAUGAAAAAUUGUUCCAAUGAAGUUUGAAUACUAAGCUCAACCCAGGAGAAGGAUUUGUUCUUGGAUGUAAAAUGGUUUAUAGGGAGUCCUGACUAUUCUUGUUCUGUGUCCUUAAAUCCUUCAGUCUUCAACUCUUGAUACCUGUUAAUCAUCUCUGCCUAUGCUAUAAACAUAGGCAUGCUCAAGUUAAGUGCCUCUAUUGGGGAAAAGUCUUAGGGUUCAAACUUGGUGGUGUCCAGGUAGCUACUUAACUCCCAAAAUCUAGACAAAGCACCUAAUUGGGAAACACAUGGCUCUGUGAAUAGCUUCAGAAGACAGUAAUGCAGCAUGAGCCCCAUGGGUGGAAGGCUUAACUCCUGCAGCUGCUUAGCACAUUGGUUACUGAGGACCAGAAGGUACUUCUGGCCUUGUGGAACACUUGCAGGGAACUAAUACAGUAUUACCUGCUUUGAUUUUUGUUGUUCUGUUGUGCCCCUGUUCUUAAUGCAGGAAGUUGUACAAAUGCCUCCACAAUGAACUAGUGCUGUAACCUCUCACCAUGUUUAAGGUUGCUCAGACAGACUCAUAUUUGACCUGAAUCUUAGAACCUAGCCAUUGUGAGCUGUCAAACCAAUCAUAGGAAAGCAGCAGUGCAGUGGGGGUGACACCCUGUCAUUAGGUGGCUGAGUCCAAAAUGUCCUCAUCUAUUGCUGAGAGGAAGUAUGUAUGUUGGGAGCUUCUGGGCUCCAGGGUGUCUGCUGGAGCAAGUGUGGGAAAGCCAGGACAGCUGUGCCAGAACUGCCCUGUGUGGCCUCUAGAUGGUGUCAUUAUGUGUCGGUUUUCUCAACUAUAAAACCACCGUGACCUUGGAUUGUCCAUAUUAUCAUCCAUCUGUUAGGUUUAAAAACUCAAGUUCUUCACUCUUCCACUAAAGGGUUUCAAAUGAUUCACAAGUUUUCCAGUCAUCUUAAGGUUUUAAAGACUGUUGUUAGCAUGAGGAAUCAGAUACAAGGUUUGAGGGGAUAAAUGGCAUAACUGUGUGUAAAUUACAGGAGGGACCUUAAAUCUGGGAUUUGGAGAGCUGGUAAUACAAGGUAGCCAGAGGUCUAUCUCAUUUCCGACUAGAUUCAAACAUGUUUCCUUUCCUUGGGCUGCAGUUGAGUCACAUGUGAUACUGUGUAUUAGUGAUGGGAUUUGUACUGUGACUGCCCUGGUGAAUGUGAGAUGUCUGGACUCCACCGUGUGCAGCUCAGAGUGGCCUUUGACAGCAUAAAGCUGUUUCUAAAGCGUAUGACUGACAUCACUUCCAUCAUUUUGGACAAUCGGUGUUGGAAAAGGUGGUGUCAGUACUUCUGGCAGUGGCUAUGUGGUUCAUAUUGGCUUGUGUGCAGGGAUGACUUAAAGGAAGUCUGCCCCCCACUGCCUGUGACUAAGAUGAAGGUACCUUCUUAGCGGGGAGGUACCUGGACUGCCCUUAGAUGUGGGAAACAUUCCUCACCUGGAUCAUCCUUGUAUUCUAUGCUUGAGUCCAAUGCCCAACACAUCAGAUCUGGCCCCAGGUGGAAAGAGUGGGCAGGUGGCUCUCUCCAAAUGAUAGUUUGUAAGAUGUCACCAUGUGGCUGCUGUUAGUGUCUGCAGUGGGAAAUGGUGACACCAAACUCUCAAUGUUGCCCUAGUGUCUAUAUAGACCUUGCAGGCAGAAGUGUGUGGUAAAGGGCCGGGUAUUGGGAAGCUGAGGGGACAGUUGGAAGGUGGCUGACUUCUCAGCUCUGAGCAAGGCAUUUCAGCAGCCAUGGUAAGGUUUUCAGGGCUGCAGCCUGCAGAAUCUGAAACUUGAGCAUUUACCUGUGUUCCCAGAAUCCUCAGGUUUCAAAUGACAUACAUGAUGGAUGUCGAAGCUGCCAGCUUGGUCAGAAAGUUUCAGCUUCAUAUUGACACUUCUUGGAUGCUUCAUUGUAAGAGGCCUGUCCUGUGCACCGUAGGAUGUUUAGCAGCAUUACCUACCUGUUCUUCUAGAUGUCUGUGGCACUCCCUGAGCUGUGAUGACAAAUGUCUACACAUCCUGUCUUCCCUGAGGAGAAAAAUCUACCACUUAAAAACUCAGAGUAGGUUCCUCAAAACCUCCCAGGUAUGUCUUGGGUCACUUUACAGACUGGAUGCCUGUGCAUCUUCUCCAUGAUGUUCAAAUGGGAGAAUAAACUAUUUGGGGGAGAGGGCAGAACAAUGCCUCCCCAGAGGUGAAAUCUAAUUUCCUCAAGGUAGCUCCUAGGGCCUGGAAUUUACCUAUGCUGUCUUCACUUUGAAGAAUUCUUGACCACCGAGUAUUGUGAUACAGCUUGCAACUCCACACCCUGGUGUCUUCACUGUGCAUAACUCAGGACAUUGUACUGCAGGAAUUGGAAUCUGAAUGACUAUACUUGUAGGUUCCUCUAUGUGCUGCUUUUCCAGAUCUCAUCUCUGAUCUUCUAAUCACCUCCCAGGGUCUGGCUGGCUGGCCAGCCAGUCCACUUGCUAAUGCACGUGACUAAUCCUUAGACUGCUUAUCCCAUAAGAGAUGACCAAGUGGGAUUGAACUUCUGUCCGGUGGGGGGCAUUUUUCCUCAAUGACUUCUUAGGGUACCCUUGAAGGAGCUCUUUAGUGUCACAGCAGUCCAUAUUCAGUUAGCUCUCAUAUAUUCAGUCAAUCCAUCUGUAAACUAGGAUGAGUAGUUUUCCCUUUUUUGCCAACUGGUCAUAGGGACCUACCCAUGAGGCCAUAGGUUUGAGCUGAUAAGACAUAGAAGUACUACAGAGCUUGGGGAGGAUGGGAGCCUGAGUCAACUGGUUUUGUAACUUAAAUAUGGCUACAUGCUCUUGCUUCCUUCAUUGUUCUUGUGCCCAUGGGAGUGCUUAUGCCUUUGUGGUUCUCACAGCACCUAGUGCAUACUGAGCAGUUCUAAACCAAGUUCAAGUUACUAGGUUUUCAUGGCCAUGAGCUCAGUCUCUAAGGCCCGGUAACAUGGUUGGAGCUGACUUGGGUUAAUUAGCCUUCUAGUUGAAGGUGCAGACUUAGCUGGAGUCUUAGGAGUCUGUAGAACACCUUUCCUAUGGAGUCUUCCAGAGACCUUCCACGGCACCCUCCUACCAAGGCUCUUGCAUGAAAGGCAAGGCAGCAGCUUAGAAGGCCAAGACUUAGCUGCAGGGCACUCAUCUGAUGAGGCUUCUUCAAAACUUGUGCCUGUUGGAGCCCACUAAAUAGCUUGCAGUAGUCAAGCAUGACAUACCCUAUUUAAAAAAGCCUAUUUUGAAAGUACACUUAAUUUAUGGCAGGAGAUAGCAAUGCAGAAAGCUGUCCAUGAAUUUGGAAGUGAUGUCCCUGCAUGCCCUACAUACUUAAGUACCAUGGAUGUGUAUAGGCUCCUGAGUCUUGGUAGGUUUCUCCUUCCCUCUGGCACAUAGGUAUGUUCCAGACCCCUCCUGCUGUUGGGUCUACCUUGUGUGAUGCAAAUAAUAGUGACCCAACGAGAUCUCCUGUGAAAUGCCAGCACAAUCAAGACUUUAGCCUAUGACAUUGGGACAGACCAGGAGAGUUAAUUAAUUACCUGAGGACAAGAUAUAAUGUAUACUUCUGGCCUUCUCAGGAGUAAGCAGACUGAUUCUGGACCCUCGAUGAGGAGGUUUGGAAAGAAUGGAUUUUCCAGAAUGUUGACUCUGUACUUAAUGUCAGAAGUGGUGGUGGUUACUAGCAAAGAUACCACCUGUCAUGCAACAUAUAUGUUAAACAUACGGUAGUUCACUGUCGUGAUGUGGAACUCCAAAAGGUGAAUAAAAACAACCUACUCAAAAAAAAAAUAUAUAUAUAUAUAUAUAUACUCAAAUGCAGAAUGUCAUCCCUUCCAUACUUGGCAGAAAAAGUGAGCAAGUGUUCAAAAGGUCCCUGUUGAUUUCGUUACCUUGAACCAGUGGCCAAAGUGAGGUUUUCUGUGCUGGGAAGCCUUGCUGGCCUCCUAUUCAGUUGACAUUUGUGCUUUAGGACCAUACUAGGAUCAUUCUGACUCAUUAAACAUGAGCCCUUAAAGCAGCAGUUGCAAUACUUUGGGAGCAGGUUAUCUUUAUUGGCACAAAUGUUACUGAUAAAUCUGUUGCUCUAGGAGAACUGGAGUCCUAGCCCAGGAUGCUGGCUAGGUGGACAGGCCAAGGAGUUGUGACCCAUUAGCUUUGUUUUUUGCUCAAGCUUAAGCAUUGCUCGUGCAUGGCUAAGUCAUUAGCUUAACCAUUGCUCAGGCAUGGGAGUUCCCAGCAGCAACCACAGGGAGGGCCAGUAAUGGCAGCUGGACUCCCACUGGACUUGUUGUCGCAUGAACAUGCCACAUCUGUCCACCACCUCCAGUUGUGAGAAUUGUCUUCCCAGAAGGGUAGGUCCUUCUGCCUGUAUGCAUGUUCUCUACAGCUACAAUGACUUACAAGAUGGGAAGACAAUGAUGGGGAAAGGUGGAGCCUGGGAUUUAAAAGUACCCCAGAGCCUAGGGUUCUGUGAGCCAUCUCUACUCAAGGUACCCAAGUUUUAGUGUUAGUAGUAUAUUCAGCUUCUGGUGACAAAACCCACUGUAUGUUGUCUCAACUUCUGUGAUCUUUAUAUUGCCUGACACUUGUAUUGCCCCAAUAUGAUCUUGCAGAUACGUUGAUUUAUAACUGAGCAUCCAAAAAGAUCUUAAAAGUAUCAAGUCACCUACUUCCAAAUGUGCAGAAGACAUGUCAGAUGUCAGUCUUCAACUUUAAUUUUGUCUUUUGACUAAAGUUGACAGCCAUCGAAGUCACUGACUACAGCUGCAUUCACACAUGUCCCUCCUCACUGGCAGAUAGGAUGGAGAUCAGGUCUACAAAGGUUACCUGGAGGACUGUAUGAUGCUUGGGAGGUUCAGGAUGCAGGCAGCAUGUCCUUCUGAUCAAGAAGCAGCCCUUACUUUUUAGAGCUAGCAUGCUAGUGAGGCUCUGAAGAGCCACUUGGCUUGCCAUGAGGAGGUAAUCAGAGCUGGUUUAAUCACUGCGUGGUAUGAACUGUUCCAUGCAAUGGAAUGCUUUCUGGAACUUCUCCGAGGGCCUUGUGUUGCCUUACUCUAAUUCUCUCUAGUCUGUGUGAAUUUGUGGAAAUGUGGAUGGUAUCAAUGUUGCUUGAGAUGGGAUGCUGUCUUCAGAACUUACUGGCUGUGUCCUUAGUUUACCUGAUCUUUGUUGCCUGAUGUGAAUAAAGAGGACUCCAACACUAAUAGAAAAGGAAGUGAAGAAUUUUUUAAUUGAAGGUCUGUGAAUUGCCCUUUAUUUAGGGGAAGAUUAACAAAAUACCUUUGCCUGUUUCAUGUUGAACCCUAAUGACAGAUCCUGGCUUGGCUGGAUGGGAAAAAGGAGACCUGUGGUAUUUGGGGCAGCUGGUCACUGGUUUGCUACCAUUAGGUGCUCUUGGCAGUGAGUUGGCCACAUGCCCUAUGAAGUCCCAGACAGCACUGUACCACUGAGGUGAGUGGAUUGGUUAGUGAUCCUAUCUGGGUCCUGGCUGAUCUGGACUGAUGCGAGCUGCAUGUGAGGUCUACUCCCAGAAUUGGUGGCUUCACAGGCUUUUGGUAGAAUCGGGGAAGGGAAAGGGAACAGCCCUUGGUCAUUCUGUCAGUGGGCAAGGCUGAGUAACUGAAAUCAUAGGAUGUGUGGUCUAUGAGCACAAUGAAUGUUGGAAGCUUUAUUAACAAUAAAGCUUGAGUAUCGAAUGCAAUACUGAUAAGACUUUCUCUGGUCACAAUGAUUUAAAGAGAAUUAUGAACUUCAGCUUCCUCUGAUGGUGGAAGUGUGUAUGACAGGGCCUCUAGGCUACAGUGUGUCUGCUGGGCAGGCACUGGGGCAGCCAGAACACCAGUCCCUGAGCUCACCUUUGUGUGUUCCUGUUCUUGUGGGACCUCUAGAUGACUGUUUCCCAUCAAUGUCCUUCCUUCAUCUUAAGACCACCAUGACCUUGGUCCACCUUUUAAUCAAGAAAAUUCUAGUUCUUGAUGCUUUCAUUCAAGAUGAUUUUCAAACUAUCAUUCACAAGUUUUCCAGCGCUGAGGUUUAAAGGCAAUCAUUAGCUUGAAGAAUCCCAGAGUUCUAAGGGGACAAUGACGGGAACAACUGUAAAUCUCAAGUAGAUAGGAGUGUCUAGAACUUAGGGGGCUGAGAUCAUUUUGUAGCCAGAGGGUACAUCUCAUCCUAACAAUUCAAGUCUACAUCCUCCAUAUAUACCACAGAAAUUGAGUCACACAUGAUAGGGUAUGGUUACUGUGAGACUUGUGCUGUGGGAGCUGAUGGCCUGGAGAAUGAGGGAAACAGACCCCAGCUUGUGUGCUCACGUGGAGACUUUUUUCACUUGACCUUUUGCUUCCUGAAACAUGGCUCAAACACUUCCUUAAUUUGCAGGAACACUCACACGGCCAGGGAAGGUCUGGGUGCUUUUUCAGUAGCUGUGUACCUCAUAUUGGCUUGUUUGCAGGGUAGACUUUAGAUGGCGCCUCCUCCCUUACUCAUGACUGAGAUGAAGUAUGCCACUGUUAGGGUGGCACCUGGACUGCUGUUAGAAGUGAAAGAUAUUGCUCACUCUGGACACAAUGCCAAAUAGCAUCCAUACUUCUGUCACAAAGAGCCUGGAAAGAUCUUGUGUCACUUGGGGGGGAUAGUCAUUUGUAUAGACAGUUUCUCUAGUGGUCACUAAGGACCCCAUUUUCUCUAGCCAUUAAGCUCUACACAACCCAACAUCUUCAGAAACUUUUCUACUCCUGUGUUAAGAGCAAUUGGUGAGUGUUGCUCAAAGGACCUGGUGUAAAAAGUGUAAGAGUCUUGGAUGUACUCCAAGCACAGUGGCAUUUUUCUCAGUGACAGCUCAGAGCAGAUGAAUCUGUAUGUCUGGUCACUUUUAAGCAUAUUGCAUAGGUAUAUUUUGGCAUUAAAACAUACAGGUCAGUGGGAGAUGGAAUGUAACUGUCAUGGUAGAUGUCGAAUUUCCUGGAGUAUCUGGUGUAAUCUUGACAUCUUCAUAAUAGUUGAACAAUUCUUGGGAAACUGAUCUUAGGGGAUCCAAGGAUGCCUGCCACUGACUCUAACUUGGUAUAGUGGAAGAAGGCUUUAUUUCUAAACUUCAAGGAUCUGCUUCUCAUUAACUUGAUGUAGAACCUGAAAUCUCUAGGUACAAAGGUCUGUUUUCAGUCCUACAUCGGUAUCAGAAGGCAGCCUAACUUCAGUUUGACCUCAUCUCUUCAGCAUAUUCUCUAUCUGGACUCAACUGUGGGAACUAGGGUGCUUCCCUGAGAAGAGCGAUCUUGCAGAGCUCCUGGUUGCAGUGAGUUAGAGAGUCUGCAAAUGCUGGUAUCCUUUCAGUCCAGGGCUCUAAUGCCAGCUCAUGCCUAUGGACACCAACUUACUCUCAAAAUGGAACACAGUGCUUCAUGCAGUGACUUGUGGGGUCAUUGCAGAGGGCAUCAGUGAGAUCCCAAAUCAAAGGAUAUUGACCUUUUCCCUGCAGAUGUGAGAAAGGGGGGUACUUGACUGUAGGACUUUUGUCUCCUUUAAGUUCUCUAUUUAGUAACUUGGUACAGGAAUAUACCAAAUUUGAUGGCCUUUUGGUCCUUGAGGUUAAUUCCAAGUUGGAUGGUAAGCAUGCGUUGGCAUAAAAGUGAGGGCUCCAUCUCAUAAUGCAUGACAUAAGCUUACCAAAAAGAGAUGGAGACAGUCCCACAAGUUUACUGUUGGAAUCAUUGUCAGCGAUCUUAGUCUUUCUCAAAUGACCAAAGAAAUGUGUAGAUUGUCUAUCACCAGCAUCAUUCAAGUGAUGGCUCUUCCUUCCUCUUUCCUUUCUCCAUCUUGCAGAGUUGGAGAAAGGAUGCCAUACCUAUAGAAAGCUUUAUCCUCCAUCUCCCAGUAUCGUGGGUCUUGGAAUGUCAAGGAAGCUGGCCUCUAAGGCUCAUCAACUCUAGUCUUGCUUCCAGACAUGCCUUUAGGAAAUGGUCCCAGCCUAUGGGGUCUUUACCAAUUGAGGUCAGUCGUUUGUGCUGACAGCAUUACAAAGUGUCGUCUUGAGGCCAGUAUUGAAAUUUCUCAGUCCUCCUUUAAGCAAAAGUAUGUAUGAUCUAGGCUUGACAAUAUGAAAGAACUGUUAACUUACGUAACAGGCUUUAGAUUUACUGCAUCGGCUUAAAGGAAGUAACCCAUCUAAUGUACAAAGACAUGUACAGGGUGACACAGGGUGUUGCCUGGGUAAGGUGGUAUAGUCCCUGACACUGUUUAUUGUAGUCAGCUAAAGAGUGUUUACUUGCCAAUAAUUACAUCAUAUGUUAGUCCUGGUAAAUCAAGGGGGUUUACACUAGUUCUCAUACUCCUCUAAGAUCAAGGAUCUUCUAUUUCCUAUGUCAUCUACAAUUUGUGAUUAAAAAAAGGGGUUUGUGAAGCCUAGAGCCCCAGUUUGGGUUGAAGAGAAGCAGACUGUAAGAUACAGGCAUUAAAAUUUACUAGUUGAGUGAGCUUGGGAAUCACACUGGGAAGGGAGGAAAAACAUGGUUGGGCAGGGGAAGGUGAAUUGUGGGCUUUUUACAGCUGAAGCUUUGACCCAGUCCCACAAAGAACCCUGUAGCUAGGGUGGCCUCCAGGGCUAUGAGUUGACCUACCUAGCUGGGCUCUUGUACUCCUCACAAAUGCUUUUGGAUGUGAUUUCCCCGGAGAGGGGACAUAACCUUGGCUGAAAUGGCUUAUGUUGGGACAAAAGCUACCCCCAGGGAAAAUGACGGUCUUGGAGUUCAUAUUCCAGACAUUGGUGCUACUGUGCAGCAUUAAUCUCAGGAAGGAAGGUAUCACCUGUCCUCCUAGGAACAGACAGAUCUUGGCUGAGGAUCUCUUGCUGAAGGUCUGUUAUGUGAGGUUACCUGUGCAUCCCAGCAGGGCCCUGAGUUCUUUAACUCCAAGACCAUAGAUCCGUACCAAAGGAAGUUCAAGUGAUGAGCCAUAGUCUAACAGGAGGCUCCUGGCCUUGGUUCUGCCAUCUUUGUGAGAUUCACAGAAGCAUCCAGCUGCGAAGAAGCUAGUGGUACUGAAGGUGAGGAAUGUGUUGAGAGGCUCCCCUGAAUUGACUGAGACCUCCAACCUGUGUCCAGAUACCCUAAUCUGUGUUCCACUCUUGACUUGGGGAUUCCUGGUAGCUGUGUGAGCCCCUACUGCCAUUCACCUCCUACAGGAUUACAUGAAAUGAACAGGGCAGUGAUUCUGUGGGUCAGACACAUCCCAGGAAAGUUUAUUCUAAUGGGUUCCAGAAUAAAGGCCCAGAACUCCCAUCUUAAAAUUACCUUGAAAAAAUUUCUAGAACAGUUGCCUACCAUCACUUUAAAGUCCAGGUGAUUUGGAAGACGAUCGCUAUAACUGAAAUCAGUUUGACCCCACCCCCAAAUUAAUGCUGAAAAUCUGUGCAUGCCUUGAACAGAACUCAAUGACGUUCCCUUGGCCCUCAAGUUGUGACAAUGAGUCGGGCAGGCCCGUCCUCUAAUCCAGAAGUCCCUGUACCCAGAUGGCAUAACCCAUUGUCAUGGUCUGUGCCAAGGUUGGACACUUGCAUGCUCGGUGUCAUGGCGUGUCCCCCCAAGGCUUCUAGCACUGUGAGGAUGUAUCUGUUCAUCCUGCGUUCUGGCUGGAAGGCCUGUGCCAGUGCAGCCAACAAGAUAGGUAGGAGGCAAUAUUUCAUACAUGUCUCCCUACAUUGCAAGAAAGAGUGGGGCGGGGAUUGGGUUGUGAAGGUCAAAUUUCCCACUGUGGUGGGGAGCUCAGUGGAUCUCUCCCAGGAGCACUGGAAGGGCUUUGAGCUUCUCCACAGGAGAGAGGUGUGGAUGCUGCCAAAGCAAUGGUUCCAACUCUCAAAGUGUGGAGAGUCAGGGUAGUUUGGAUCAGAGGCCAGGAGAACAGGCUCCCUGCCUCCGAGAACAUGUUUCCUAAACACGGAGCUCCGGGGGCUUCUGAGUAUGGCCUUUCUUUUCUUUUAUUAUUGAGGGAUAUCUUUUUUCCCCCUGUUGAGUUACAUCUUGGAACUUGGACCACAGUCAUCAUGUCCUCAUGUGGUACAGCCCAGCAUGCGUCUGAAUGGUCUUUGUGUGUUCCUGUAGGAUGCUAUCAGAUCAUAUGUUGCCUGUCUGGGUAGAGGCUUGGUGAGAUUCUGCUGAUGCUGCUUGAAGGUGAAUCCCUGGAGGGCUGAGUACCUGCUCUGACCGAUGCAUGCAUGGCUGUUAUCCCAGGCUGCUUGCUUUUCACUUUCAAACAUGUCUUCAAGAAACUUGAUAUAUACAAUGGUUUACUUGCUGACAUAGCACUUUCUCCACUGACUAAACUGUGUGCUAGGAAUCUUCUUGGAAAUAUGCUUGAUAUCAUUGAUGGGCAUGUAGGUUGAUUCCAUGUGUCUGCUACUGUUGUAGUCUCAACCAUGCACCAAGGUGUAAGAGUCUCUUUUCUGAGAAUAAGGCCCUGAGCUCUUUGUCCUACCUCCAUGAAGCUUAAGGAGCAUGGACACCAGGUGAGGUUGGAGCAAAAGUUUCAUAAGUUGAAAGAAAGCCCUCUGUCAGCAGAAGGUGGGGGGUCCUGAACAGGGUGCCCCCAAUAAAGCUGGGCUCCAGGGUUUUUAUGGACUAGAAAGGGGAAGGGAAUGUGCUUAGUCUGUGAGCCAUCUUGGAGAACUUAUGACUUAGCUUGGCCUGGGACCCUGGCCUGGGACCACUCAAAGCUUGGCCAAAGACCAGUCAGGAGCUGAAGUGAUGAUUCACAGAGGCUGCUUAGCUUGGCCCGGGACCUAUCAGGAGUUGAAGUGAUUAAUAAAGGUUGACUUUAUGGUCCAGAAAAAGGAAAGUAGAGUGCCCACCAGAGCCCACUGUGCCUAUGCCCACAAAAACUUUUUCCUGGGAACCUGCUGACGAUACAAAGGACGAAAGCAUUAAGUUCUGGGAUACGUGUACAGAACGUGUAGGUUUGUUACAUAGGUAUACAUGUGCCAUGGUGGUUUGCUGCACCCAUCAACCUGUCAUUUACAUUAGCUAUUUCUCCUAAUGCUCUCCCUCCCCUAGCCUCCCACCCCCCAACAGGCCCCAGUGUGUGAUGUUCCCCUCCCUGUGUCCAUGUGUUCUCGUUAAACUCCCACUUAUGAGUGAGAACGUAUGGUGUUUGGUUUCCUGUUCUUGUGUUAGUUUGCUGAGAAUGAUGGCUUCUAGCUUCAUGUCCCUGCCAAGGACAUGAACUCAUCCUUUUUUAUGGCUGCAUAGUAUUCUGUGGCGGCAUAUACGUGCCACAUUGUCUUUAUCCAGUCUAUCACUGAUAGGCAUUUGGGUUGGUUCCAAGUCUUUGCUAUUGUAAAUAGUGCUGUGAUAAACAUACAUAUGCAUGUGUCUUUAUAGUAGAAUGACUUACAAUCCUUUGGGUAUAUACCCAGUUAGGGGGAUGGCUGGGUCGAAUGGUAAUCUGGUUCUAGAACCUUGAGGAAUCGCCACACUGUCUUCCACAAUGGUUGAACUAAUUUACACUCCUACCAACAGUGUAAAAGCGUUCGUAUUUCUCCACAUCCUCUCCAGCAUCUGUUGCUUCCUGACUUUUUAAUGUUCGCCAUUGUAGCUGGCUUGAGAUGGUAUCUCAUUGCAGUUUUGAUUUGCAUUUCUCUAAUGACCAGAGAUGAGCUUCUUUUCAUGCUUGUUGGCUGCAUAAAUGUCUUUUGAGAAGUAUCUGUUCAUAUCCUUCACCUACUUCUUGAUGGGGUUUUCUUGUAAAUUUAAGUUCCUUGUAGAUUCUGGACAUAAGCCCUUUGUCAGAUGGCUAGACUCCAAAAAUUUGCUCCCAUUCUGUAGAUUGUCUGUUCAGAUAGUUUCUUUACCUGUGUAGAAGCUCUUCAGUUUAAUUAGAUCCCAUUUGUCAAUUGGGGCAUUUGUUGCCAUUGCUAUUGGUGGUAGUCAUGAAGUCUUUGCCCAUGGGACAGAGGUAUUUCUAUGCUAAGCCUUGUUCGUGUAUCUGAGUGAUUCUGGAGGUUCGUACAAGUGUUUAUCCAAAUGGGCCCAGAGGUCUUUCUGUGCAGCUGUGGGCAUGUCUCCAGGAACAACACCCUGUGCUUGUUCCCUUAUCGGUACCUGCGGCUUGAGUUUUUUCCCCGGCUGCUUUUUGUUAUGGGGAUGAGCCACUGACCCAUAGGCCGAGGGCUCUCUGGGGACCCUUCCUUUCCCUUCCCUUCCCUUCACUAUCUACCUAAGGCAAGCUAACUCCUUCCACUAUGAACAUACAUACGCAUGGGUCCUUAUGGUAGAAAUGGUGCAGGGCAGAUGAGCCCCCAAAUUAGGAUACAGCCCAGGAAGAUUCCUAGCUUCUAGGAAUGAAUUUGAGGGUGAGCGGUGGUGGUAGUAGAUGGCAACAUUAUUGACACGGCAGUGCACAGCGGCAGGAGAGGUACAGCUCCUUGUGGAGCGGGGCUUACCUUUCAGUGCUGGGCUAUUGUCACGGAAAGGGAUGGCCACUGCUGGGUGUUGCCAUGGCAAUGGUAAACUGACAUGGCAUAGCAGGCAUGUCUCAUGGAAAGCGGCUUCUGCCCUGUUUCAGCUAGUCCUCCAUUAGGUCCUGUGUCCAGGCUCUGCCUCCAGAACUGAGGCCUCCCUCCUACCUAAGAAUGACUUGUAUUCCUUGGUAUACCUGAUAAUGGGAUUGCUGGGUUGAAUGGCAAUUCUGUUUCCAGUUUUUACGGACUUGACACACUGCUUUCCAUAAAAGCUGAAAUCACUGAGACUCCCAAAAGCAGUGGAUGAGCUCUCCCUUUACUUGGUAUCCUUGCCAGCAUCUUCUGUUUUGACUUAGCCACUCUGAGAGAUGGCAUCUCAUUGUGACACUGAAAUUCUGACCACCCAGCAAUGAACAGGGGGCAACAACACUGAGACCAUGGAAACGUCCUGCUUUUCACCAAACUUUCCUCACUUUAUACUUCUGAAGAUUCUUCUAGUCAAUAUCAUGAUUACAAAGCUGCUAACUUCACUACCCCUUCCAGUGCGUUACUUCUUGCUCUCAUUAGAGGGGCAAAAAAGCCCAUAGUUGUCACAGAACAGCGUUGGAUAUUGACUAAACACAGGACAAAUGUGUUCCAAGACUUGCAGAACUAUAAAUCUAUGAAGUACACAAAAAAAUCAGUUGAAUGCAUUAAAUAUGCAGCUUUCUAUGUUAGUCAUGCCUAACUGAAGUAGUUUUAAAGCCAAAUGAACCAAUCCAUGCCACCAAGUAAAACAAGUGGAUCAUGCAAAAAAUUGUGCUUGCUCAUGAUGAAAAUGGUUCCCUAUAUACACUAGCUUAACUUUUACAUACACAUACUUAACACACUAUUUGGGGGAAGCAACCUUAAACACUUGAAACAGCAGAAAUAGACAAAACAAUUCUAAAUGGAAACAAAGUGACUUGUUUCUAUCCCAGAGUCAACCCAUAAAGGUCUCAGGUUAUUAAGAACUUUGAAAAGUGUCUUGAAUAUUAAAAAUUGUGUGUUUGGGGCAGAGAUAUUAAUGAUAUUAACUGGUAUUAAUGGUAACUGAAAUGUUUCCAUUUUCAAACAUGAGUCUCUAUCUCAAUCCACGAAGCAGGCACUGGCUGAGGGUCCUAGGCUAACAAUAUGCAAACCCAUCAGCGUGCAUGGCCUGUAAGCAGGGUGAAGAUGACCAGAGGUCAGUAGUCAGUGCAUUGACAGAGUCUUUCUGCCAUUAAGUACCAUACAUGUGCCCUUGGUGCUGGUGCUCCAUUUCCAUGGGAAGCUUUAUUAGACCUUGUUUCUGUGAACUCACUUGGUGAACUCGAUAUUACCUUCAAGGUAUAGGGGUGGAAAAUUGCAAGCAGGGGGCAAGAAGAAUGCACUGACGUGCCCUUCCUGCUUUUCUGGAUCCAGGCUCUUCUACCAUGAAGCUGGAGGUAAACAAAACCACCUCUGCCUGCAGGGAGACUUCGGCAGACCACACACCAUCUGACUCCAUAGGCUGCCUUUGGAGAUUGCACUGUCUCUUCCCCAGCCCUUGCUGUGAUUCUGUCCCGGGAGGCCAGCAAAACCUCUGGGGCAGAAGUCAUCACUGCAGUUGUGCAGACUCCCUCAAGGACAGCAGCAGACUCUACCCAGGGCAGGCAUCCCUUUUCAGAAGAGCCACUUCAGGAGGAUCUGUCUCCUCUGAACGUCUCAGACACUUCCCCCCUUGUGCACUACAGACUUCUUUUGUAAUGACUUCUGGGAAUAUCCUUUUUUGAUUUGGGUGGCCGAGGGCAAACAGGUGCCUAUGCAUCUAAUUUCUGGCUUUUGAUGCUCAGCUGUAACGGGGUAACCGGCCUUCAGUGUCCAGAUGAAACAGGUUAACUGGCAGUUUUUGAGGGUCAUGGGGGAAUUGGAGUCUUCUAAGGUUUUGGGGUACUCACUGCCUUCUGCUUUUGGGCAGAGUGCUUUAUCUUGGAUGGUUUGUUCUCCUUCACUGACGUUCCUGGUAAAGCAGUUGUGCUUGGUGGAUUAGAAGCCUGCUUUUGACCCUCUUUGGUGUUUACUAAUACUUGUUUGAACUUGGGAUUUGCUUAUUCUGUCUCUGGAGUUCCACUUAUUUCCUGCCUUCUCUAUACUCAAAAGUAGAGCUUGAACAAGAAAGUCUUUUCUACCUCCUAAUGCUGGUUGGUGUUUAUUUUAGGCAUUCUUAAAUCUCCAGGUAUUGUCCACCACCCAGGUGCUUUUCUUAUGACCUGGGGUAGAAACCCCAAAAAGACGUGUAUUUAUCUCUGAAGUCUUUGCUCAUGCAGGAAGGCUUUCAUGGAAAAGAGGAUGGCAGUGUUGUACAGCUGGUGGUUGGAGUCCUGUCUAGAGAAACCUGCCAUUGGGUCUGGGUUAGUGUAUUUCGCAGUGUCACAGACAGCACAGUGGCUGUGAGGUGGGUGUGGCUAGGCAAGAUGUCCCAGCCCAGAAUGCUGUCAGAUCUGCAGUGAUAGUACUUGGUCUACUCAUGGGAGUAGGCUCUCGGGAAGGCUUUUUGCAGAGCCAAGAUGGUAGAGAUGGCCCUCAGCUGCCUUCUGGUAUGUCGGUGAUAGAUCAGGCUGUAACAAGCAACUCAUUGGAUAAAUGUUUCUUGACCAAAAUGGAUCUCAGCAACAUCAUGGAAAAUUGUUCAAAUGAUAUUUUAAUAUAAGUGCAGCCCAGGAGAGGGAUUUUUUUCUUGGUCAUAAAAUGGUCUAUAGAAAGUCAUAACAAUUCUCAUCCUCCAAAGCCUUUAGUGUUCAACUCGUCAUACCAGUUAGCCAUCUUUGCCUAUGAGUUAAAUGUUAGCAUGUUCAAGUUAGGGUGCCUCCUUUGGGGAGAAGUCCUAGGUCUCCCACUUGGUGGUGUUGAGGUAGCUACUUAAGCCCAAGAAUCUAGACAAAGGACCCAGAUGGGGAAACACAUGUCUCUGAACCUGUUUGAGAGUCUGGCAAUGCAGCCAGGAGCCCAGUGGGUGGAAGGUUCAACUGCUGCAGCUGCUUAGUGUGUCUGUCACUCAGGAGCAGGAGCAGGGUUACUUCUGGACUUGUGCAGCACUUGCAGGGAAUGAAUACAGUAUUGACUGCUUUGGUUUCCUUGUCUCCUGUUCCUAAUGUAGAAAGUAAUAUGAAUUCCUCCAUGGAAACACUAAUGAUCUCAUGGCACUUGAGGUCCUUCAGAGACUGACUCCCGUCUGACCUCUGCUGAGUGAUCUGGAUCUAGAACCCAGCUGUUUGUAGGUACAGAGCCAAACAUAUGGUAGCAGUGUGCUUGGAGGUGACACCCCAUCAGGUGGGUGGGUCCCAGGCAUCCUCAUCCUUCACUGAGUAGAAGUGCGAUAUGGGAGCUUCUGGGCUAGUGUCCUGAGGCAAGCAUGGGGGAAAGCCAGCGCAGUAGUGCCUGAACUACUCUGUAUCUUAGGCUCCUGUGAGGCUUCUAGAUUUCAUUUCAUGUGAGUGUUGUAUGACUCAGGGAUAUCACUUCCAUUUUUGUGCACACUCAGUGUCAGCAAAGGCCUUGGUACUUUCUACAAUGGCUGUGUGGUUCUCAUUGGCUUGUGUGAGGGUUAGACUUAAGAUAGAAGAAGGCUGUGCCCCUGCCCAUGACUAAGGUGAAGUACAUCCUCGGGACACACCUGGACUGCCCUUGACUAUGGGGAACAUUCCUCACCCGAGUCAUACUACUGUGGCUCCUGGUUUUCAUUCCAGCACCCAACACAUCAGGUGUGGCCCCAAGUCAAAAGAGGGGUCAGAUUGGUCUCCCAACCUUAGUUAGCAAGAUGUCACCAUGUGAUCCCUGUAUUAGUGUCCCCAGUUGAGAAAUAGUAACACCAAACUCACUUAUCUUCAUGUCUGUAUACAGACCCUUGUAGGCAACAGUGGACAGCAAAGGGCAGUGUUUUAGGAGACUGAGGGAACAGGUUGAAGGUGGCUUACUUCUCAGCUCUGGGCAAGGAGUUCCAGCAGCCAUGGUGAGGCUUUAUGCUUCAGCCAGAAGAACCUUAAACUUGAGCAUUUACUUGUGUUCACAAAAGCCUGCAAAGGCUUCAUAUUACAUACAUAACUGGUGUCAAAGCUGCUAACCAGGUCAAACUAUUUAGCUUUGUACUGAGUUUUUUUUUUUUUCUGGAUACUUCAUUGUGGGUGGCUGUCCUCAUUGUAAAAUGUUUAGCAGCAUGAUUACCUGUUGUAUUAGAUGUCUUUAGCACCACCUGAGUCGACAAAAAUGUCUAGAUAUGUCAUGCUGUUCCUGGGAAGAGAAAUCUCACAGUUGAACAGCAAACUAGCUUCCUCAAGGAACCCCCAAGCGUGUCUUGGCAGUUCUCCCAUUGGGUGUCUAUGGGUGAAGGGCUUGGUUGUCUGUGGGCUGUGCUGCCUCCUGAACAUGCCACAUUCAUCUACCACAUCAAGUUGUGAAUUUGCAAAUUUUCAUGUUUUUGUAAGGUGACUUAAAAAAUCUCAAGCCAGUAGUAGGGGUGGGGGGUGGACGAGUAGUAGAGCCUGGGCACUGAAAGACUGAAGUUUACCUUCAGUGAGCUGCCUCUACUCUGUGUACCCAAACCUCUUUUUCAGUAUUUGAAAGCUGGCUUCAGAUGAGUUUAUCUACCUGAUCUUAAAUGUUGCCUGAUUAGAACUGCCCAUAUGACCUGCAGGAAUAUUGAUAAAAUUGACAUGGAAAAGUUUGCUGCAUACCAUUGUAUAAUCACCUAUUCUCACGUGCCCAGCUGUGCCAGACUCCAGCCUUCAACUCUUGUUUAAAUUUGUCCCUUGACCGUGAAGGAAGUAAAUGUCACAAAAUUCCUAACACUGCACUCACUUUUUCUCCUCAGACUGGCAGAUAGAACGAAGAUCAAGUUCACAAAGGUUCUGGAGGAAGACUGGAUUAUGCUUGGGGAGGUUCAGGAUGCUGGCAUGUUCUUUUGAUUAAGCAAUAGCCCUCACCCUUUACAGAGCUGACAUGAUAGUGAAGGGUCUCUGAAGAGCAGCUGUUUGUCAUGAGGCAGUGAGAGUUGUCAGAACUCCUCCAUGAUAUGACUUGCUCCAGGCCAUGGAGUGCUUUUUUUUUUUUUUUGAGCUGCUCUGAUUUUCUGGUAUUCUAACCUCUGAUUGUUCUUCCGUGCAUCUGUGCAGACCUGUGGCAAUAUGGAUUGGUAUUAAUGUCACUUGAGUCAAGCGUGAUGAUGUCUCCAAUACUUGUUCUCUCCUUAGUCCGCCUGACCUUUGGUAUUUGAAGGGAACUCUAAUACUAGCAGGAAAGACUGAGGAAAAGAGGGAAGUAAGGACUUACUAUGGAAGGCUUGUGAAUUGCUUCUUUCUUAGGGGGAAGAUACAGAAUAUGUCUAUUGGAUAUUUAACCCUAAUGACAGAUCCUGCAUAGGCAGGGCUGGAUGGGGCCCUGUGGAGUCUAGGACAACUGGUCAUCAGAAAUUCCUGCCAACAGGGUUGUUUCCUGGGCUGUGACUCAAUCGGGUGUCCUGCAGUGUCCCCAACAGCACUGGGGCCAGUGUGAGGUGGGUGUGGUUGAGUGUGAGAUUCUAUCUGGGUCCUGGCUGAGCUGUAGUCGUGUGGGGGCUGGGAUGAGAGGUCUACUUGUGGUACUGGAGGUUUCACUGGCUUGUGCUAGAACUAGAAAAGAAGAAAGAGACAGCGAUUGGCUAACCCAUGGCAGUAGUGGGCCCCAAGGCCCUGAGUAAUAAGAAAAAAUCAUUAGAUAAAUGUCUCAUGACCAAAACAAAGUUCAAACACUAGGUGCAGCACAGAAGGGUUUUCUCUGGUCAUAGAAUCUCUUAAAAGGGAAUCAUGACAGAUUUUCUUGGCUUUAAGUCCUUUAUUUAGUUCCCUCUACCAAGUGUAUCUUUUAAAGCCUUGUUAAGGAAGAAAGCCCAGAUCUCCUGAUGACUCCUUGAUGUCCAAGGAGCUACUUACCCCAAGAACGAGAAUGUAGACCAGGACAGAUGUAGGAGAAAAUGACUCAACUGCUCCGAGGUACUGCAGUAAUAGAGCAUGAGACUUUUGGUUGGAAUGUGUCAUUGCCAUGGAUAGUUCGGGCUUCUGCAACACUUGCAGAGAAUACUUUUGGAUUCUGUGGUUUUUUUAGAAUCCUUCAUGACUUGUCCCUUCACACAAGUUGUACAAAUCUCUUCAUAAAAAAUAACUGGCACUGUAAUCUCACACCAUGGGCAGUUCUUCAGGGACCAAGGCUCAUGUGUGACUGCUGCUCAGUGACCGAGCUUGUCCUAGAGCCUAUAAUAUGGUAGCAGUACACUUGGAAGUGACACCCCAUCGCCAGGUGGCUGCGUUCCAAGUGUUGGCAGCUCACUGACAGUGGGAGUAUGGGAGCCUGUGGGUGUUUGCUUGGGGCACGCAUUGGGGCAGGCAGGAUGACUGUGUCCUGCUUUGUGUCCUCUCUUGUGAGGCCUCUUCUAGGUGGCUCUGUUCCAUGUCAACAUCUGCCUCAACUUCUUCCGAGACAACCGUAACCUUGGAUAGUAAACUACAUUACCUCUCAUUCUAGUUCUUUACUCUUUCACUCAAGAAUGCUUUCAAGUCUCAAGUUUCCCAGUUCUUCAGAGGCUUAAAGGCAACCUUUAGCUUGAGGAAUCCAACUUAAGGUUUUAGGAAAUGACAGAUGUAAAUGUAAAUAAUCCCAAAUGCAUGGCAAUGUCAAACUUGCAGCUGAGAUCACCUCACAGUUGGAGGUGUACAUCUCAUUCCAUCUGAAUUCAAGCAGACAUACAUUACAUACACCAGGAGAGUUAUGUGGAGGUACAUACAGAAUAGUCAGUGGCACUUGGAACAUAAUAGCUGACUGUACUGGCAAAUAUGAGAUGGCUGUGUGCUCACACGGACCUGACAGUUGACCUUUCAUCUUAUAAAAUGUAUGACUCACAGUCCAUCAUUGGUCAUUUGGACAGUCACACUUGCAAAAAGGUUCUGGGUACUUAUUGCCAUGACUGUGUCAUUGUUGGCAGGUGUAUGGGGUCAACUUGAAGGCUUCUGGCCUACCCAUGAGUAAGAUGAAGUACAUCCUUAGGGGGAGGCAUCUGGACUACCCUUUGGAGUGGAAACCAAUUAUUACCCUAGUCGUAAUGCCAAAAAUCCUUGUUUCCUGCCAUAUUGAAAAGCCUGAUGAGAGGACCUUUCUGUUAGGGAAGGGGGAUAUGCACUUGUGCAUAGUUUUUCUAGUGGGUGACUUAAGUGCUCCAUUUUCUCUAGCCAUUCAGCUCUGCCUGAGCUGAUCUUCAGGAAUUUCUAUUGCCAUGUUAGACCAGACAUUGCCACCACAGUUGUAUGAACUCCCUCAAGGAGAGAGCACUGAACUCUUCCAGGGCGGACAACUCAGAAGAGCCACUUCAGGAGGAUCCAUCUCUUCAACCUAGACAUUUACCCCUUGUCCACCUGACUCUUUGUAAUGACUUCUGGAUUCUGUUCUCAGCUGUGCUGGGAAUACAUCUUGAUUUGGCUAGGGUAAAGGCAAGCAGGCACUUGCACGUCUAAUUUCUGGCCUCUGGUCAGCUCCAGGUGUUGGACCUGGGCCCUGCAGUAUGUCCUGGUGAAGCAGGUUAACUGGUGGCAGUCUUAAAGGUAAUGGGGGAAUUGGUAUGCUAGGUUUUGGGCUGUCACUGCCUUCUGCUCUAUUCCCUUGGCAGAGAACAUCAUCAUCACGUGGGACAGUUCUUAGUCCCCUUCACUGAUGUUCCUGGUAAUGCAGUUGUGCUUGGGAGUUAGAAGCCUGCUGUCCCUGUUCAGUUUCUACUGACAAUUGUUUAAAUCUGGGAUUUCCAUGUUUUUCCCCUUGACUUCUGGAGUUCACUCCUUGCCUCUUGGCUUCUUCAUAGUCAGAAGGGGAAGCUUGAUCAAGAACAGCUUUUCUAACUCCUAGUGCUGGUCAGUGCUUCUGCGGGUAUUCUCAAAUGCCCUGUAUUGUGCAGAAUCCAGACGUUUUUCUUACGGCAUACAGUAGAAACACUAAGGCCAGAACUGUCUUUGUCCCGGACGUCUUUGCUAACGUAGGAAUGCCUGCAUGGGAAAGAGAAUGGUGUUGCACGGUUGGUGAUUAGAAUCCUGUGUGUAGAAAGCUGCCAGUAGCUGUGGGAUUGAGUAUCCUACACUGUCGCAGAUGGCAAGGGGCCCAGUGUGAGGUGGGGGAUGACGGGAAUCUGAGCCGCCUGGUUUUCUAACUUAAAUCUGGCCUUUCUGUACAAAUACUUUAUAACACUGUUUCUGUGCCUACUAGAACGUUUGCCUGGAUGGGACUUCACAGCACCUAGCUCAUACUGAGCAGUUAUAAACAGUUACCUGAUGUUUCAUGGCCAGGAGCUCACUUUCUAAGGCCCAGUAACAUGCUUAGAGAUAGCUAGUAGAAGGCUUAUCUGAAAAAGGUGCAGACUUAGGCUAGUAUAUUAGGGGUGUGCAAUAUACCUUUUGCUAUGGAGUCUGCUAGAGAGCACCCGUGACAUCCUCUCCUGCCUUGUCUCUUAUGGGAUUACAUCCAUGGUAACAGCUUAGACCAAAACUAGCUGUGGAGCCCUCAUUUUCUUGGAGUCCUCCUCAGAACUUUUAGCCAUUUGAGCCCAGAAAAAUGGUUUGGAGUAGUCGAGUGUGACGUAUGCUUUCUCUGAAAUCCAAAAAAUCCUACCUAUUUUGAAAGUACACUUCAUGGUAGGAGAAAAAGAUGCAAGAAAUUCUCCCAUAAUUUCAAAGUUGGAAGUAACGUCCCUGCAUUCCUUAGAUAACUAAAAACAUCAGUGAUGUCACUGAGCCCCUGGGCUUAUAAGUUUCUCCCUGUCUCUGGCGCACAGGUGUUCUCCAGGGUACUUCCUACUUUCCUGUUGCCCAGGUCUGACUUAAGUGAUACCAGUAAGUGACCCAGCAGGCUCUUCUGGGGAAUGUCAGCAUAAUUGAGACCUCUGCAAAUGAUAUUGGGGCAAAGAUCAGGAGAGUUACCUUGAGAGUGAGACUGAAUGUAUACUUUUUCCCAUUAAAAAGAAAACUGAUAGUGGACCCUCAAUGAGGAUGAAUGAGAGAAUGUAUUUUUCCAGAAUGGCACUAAAUGCCAGAAGAGGUAGUUAUUCACCAAGAUAUACCAUAAGUUGCAUGAAAGCCAUAAUACAUACUUCAUAGUACACUCCCAUCUGACAUGGGACUCCAGAAGAUUAAAGACCAAUUUCAAAAAUGCAGUCAAAUAUAGAAUGACAUCCCUUCCAUACUUAAAACUCCAGAAUAGGCACAUGAAAGAAGAUCCCUGCCCCACUGAUUUACUCAGUUUGAACCAGUGAUCAGUGAGGCUUUCUGUGUUUGGCAUUCUUCUGACCCCAAGUCCAAGUAACAAGUGUUUCAGAGGGACCAUUCUAGGACUGUUUUGAGCCCUUGGAGCAGCUGUCCCAACACUUUGGGGGCAGGGUAUUUUUACUGGUAUAAAAACAUUCACAUAGAAAUCCAAGUUUCUCUAGAAGUGGUGUCCUAGCCCAGGAUGCUGUCUAGAUGAACAGUCGAGGAGUGACCCACUAGCUUCCCUUAACCAGUGCCCAGGCCUGUGAGAUGCCAGGAGCAACCACAGGGAGAGAUGGCAAUGACAGCAGCAGGACUUCUUGUUGGGUCUGGUGCCUCAUGAACAUGCCACAUAUCCAUCCACCACCUCCAGUUGGGAGAAAUGUCUUGCCAGAAGUAGGUCCUUCUGCCAGUCUUCACACAUUCUUCAUAGCUAGAAUGACUUAGAAUGCUCAAGCCAGUGAUGGAGGGAAAAGGCAGAGCCUAGGAAUGAACACUCCAGAGCUUAGGUUCAGUAAGCCACCUCCACUCAAUGUAUGCAAGUCUUAUCAUAGGGCUUGAAAAAGAUAAUUUCAGGGGGAAAACUCACUGGAUGUUUUUCUAACUUCUAUGAUCUUUGAUGUUACCUGAUACUUGUAUUGCCCCAAUAUGAUCUGCAGGUGUGUUGAUUAUACCCUGGUAUGCAACAAGAUCUUCAAGGUACCAAGUCACCUACAUUCAUGCCCAGAAGCUGUUGCAGACUCCAGUCUUCAACUCUUCCUUAAAUUUCUGUCCCUUAUCCUAAUGUUGAUUGCCACAGAAAUCACUGAAGCUCCAUUCACACCUGUCCCUACUCAGACUGUGGCAGACAGGAAUGGAGAUCAAGUUCACAAGUCUACCUGUAGGAUUGUAUGAUGCUUGGGAGGUUCAGGAUGCAGGCAGCAUGUUCUUAACAACAGUCCUUGCCCUUUACAGAGCAGACAGGUGAGUGAGGCUCUCUAAAGAGCAACUGUUUGCCAUGAGGAGGUAAAUAGUUGACUUAACCCCUGCAAGAUAUGAAUUGAUCCAUACCACAGAAUGGUUUCCUUAACUCCCUAAUGUCCUUGUGUUAUAUUACCCUAAUCUGUGUGACAUUGUAGAAAUGUGGAUGGUGUUAAUGUCACUUGCCGUUCUAAUGCUGUUUCUCGGACUUGGUAUCUCCUUAGUUUACCUGAUCUGUUGCUUGAUACUUGAGUUAAAGCAACCCUAAUCCUAGCAGAAAAACCAACUUAGAGGUGAAAGUUAAGGAUUUUUAAUGGUAGGUUUGUGAAUUUCCCUCUAAGGGAAGAUACAGAACUUUUCUGCCUAUUUCAUAUUUAACCCUUGAUUACAGAUCCUAGGUAGGCUGGGCUGGAUGGGAAAAAGAGGUCCUGUGGUGUUUGGGGCAGCUGGUCAUUGGAUUUCUGCCAGCAGAGAUGUGUUCUUGGCUGCGGGUUCAUUAAGGGUCCUGCAAAGUCCCAAAGAGAGCACAGGGGCAAGAGGGUGGGAUGGGGGCAGCAAGGGGUCCUACCUGGGUCCUGGCUGAUCUGGAGUGAUGGGGACUGGGAUGUGAGGUCCACUUGCCAGGAUUAGAUGCUUCAGACUUGUGAAGGGAGACAGGAUGGGGAAGGGGACCUUCCUUGGCCAACCUGUCAGUGGGUAAGGCUGAAUCACUAAAAUCACUGGACAAAUGUCUCAUGAUCAAAACGAAUGUUGGCAACUUUAUUUUUCCAAUAAAGCUUGAAUAUUAGGUGCAAUAGUGAUAGGUUUUCUGGUCAUAGAAUGAUCUAAAGAGAAUCAUAACACUUUCAAUUCUCUCUGCAUCUUAAGUCUUCUGUUCUCUUUAUUACUUGGACUUGGGCCGUGGUUGAAACCCAAGAAUCCUCCUGUUAGGUGCCUAUUUUGGGGAAAAAGGUCUAGGCUUAUCUGUUAGUGGUGUCUGGGUAGCUACUUGCCCCCAAGAACAAUAAUACAGAUAAGGGAUGUAGACUGGGAAAUAGACCCUGCUGUCGAUCUUUGAGGAGUUGUGAUAGUGCACGGUGAGCCCUGUGACAUGAAGCUGUUCUUGCCAUGGUGGGCUAGUGUCAGAGGACCAGGGGAUACUUCUGGGCUUAUCACACUCGCAGGGCAUUGAUAGGCUUCUAUCUUUGUUGGUGUCCUUAUCCUUUGUGACCUGUCCCUUGAUAGAGAAAGUUGUAUAAAUUCCUCCAUUUAAAAAUAAAUGAUGCUUUAAUUUCUCAUGACCUGUAAUGCUUCAGGGACUAAGGUUCUCAUGGCUGAUCUGAGUGAACUCGACGUACAGCCCAGCCUUUCUGAGCUGAAGAGACAGUCAUUUGAUAAGAGUGCACUUGGAGGUGAUACCCCAUCACCCCCAGGAGACUGGGUCCAGAAGUCUUCAGCUUCCUCUGACAGUGGAAGUGUGUAUGAUGGGCCCUCUGGGCACCACGGUGUCUGCUGGGCAAGCACUGGAGUGGCCACAACAAAAGUCCUUGAGCUGUGCUUGGCAUCUUCCUCUGCUCAUGUGAGGCCUCUUGAUGACUCCGUUUCCUGGCAAUGUCUCCUGUUUUUCCUAGGCCACAAUGACCUUGAACGCUCCACCUUUUUAUUUGUCAAUAAAAUGUUUAUCUCUGCUUUCACCCAAGGUUUUGAAACCUUUGGGUGUGCCAGCUCUCCUGAAGUUUAAAGGCAAUCUUCAGCAUGAGGAACACAACAUGAAGUUUCAGGGGGAUGAUGGCAGGCAUAACCCUGGGUAGAUGGGAGUGUUAAUCUUAGAGAGUGGACUUAUUUGUAACUAGAGCAGUGUAUCAUUCUAACUGAAUUCAAGCCUACAUCCUUCAUAAAUACCACUGGGGUUGAGUCACACAUGAUAGGGUAGUUACUAUGGGAUUGGUCUGUGAAAGCUGAGACCCUGAAGAUGAGGGAGUUAGACCCCAGCUUGUGUGCUCACAUGGAGAAGAGACCUUUGUCAGUUGAUCGUUUGUUGCAUGAAACAUGACUCGAACGUUUCCUCUGUGUGAACACUCACUGCCAGGAAAGGUCUGGGUACUUCAGUGACUUUGUAGCUCGUAUUGGUAUGUGUGCAAGCCAGACUUGAAAGGGGAAGGCUGCUUCCCUACUCAUGUCUAAGAUGAAGUAUACAACUUAAGCAGGCAUCUAGAAGUGGAAAAAACAUUGUUCAACCUGGUUAUAGUGUCCAAAAUGCUCUUGUCUUCUGCCACAAAGAGCCUGAAAGGACUUUUAUCAUGGGGAAGAUGCCCAUUUGUGUAGAAAUAUUUCUGGUGGUCACUAAGGACCCCAUUUUCUCUAGCCAUUAAGCUCUACACAACCCCAAAUCUUCAGGAACUUGUGUUAAUGCAUUUUUCUCAGCGACAGAGCUCACAGUAGAUGAUUGUUUUUUCACUUUGAAGCAUAUCCCAUAUAUAUAUAUAUAUAUAAUAUAUAUAUUUUAGGUAUUAGAAUAUAUAGAUCAGUGGGAAAUGCCAAUGAAACUGUCAUGGUGAAUGUCCAACUUCCUUAAAUCUCUAAUCUGACAUUGUUACCAUGGUCCAACAAUUUUUGGGAAGCUGAUCUUAGGGGACCCACCAAUGCCUACCACAAUUCUGACUUGGUGUAGUUGAAGAAUAUAUCCUUGUUUAACUGAGUGGAUCUGCUUUACAUUAACUUGAUCUAGAACCUGAAAUCUCUAUGCAGAAAGGCAUAUUCUGAGUCUUCGGUAGAUAUCAGAAGGCACCCUAACAACUGCAGUUUGACUUCAAACUCUUCAGAAUAUCUGGAGUCACCUGUAGAAACUAGGACUGUUUUUCGCAGGAGAGCGAUGAGCUCUUGGUGCUUGUAGUGGAGUCUACAAAUGCUGACAUCCCUUUCGUCCAGAACUUUAACAUCACUUCAUUUCCAUGCGUCCACGGGAUGCACGGGAAUGAGUUAACCUGGAGCAAAAUAGAAUGGAGAGCCCUCAUGCAGCGACUUGUGGGGUCGGUGCAGAGAGCAUCUGUGAGAUGCAAGAUCAUAGUGUUGACCUUUCUCCUACAGAUUUCUGAGCUGGGGCCAGGUGUUGGGGGCAGUGUUGGUGCUUCGUGACUCCUUGCUUCCUGUUUCCUUGAAAUUCCCUAGUAAUCUGGUAAAGGGGCAUAUGAAAUCGUGAAGGUCCUUGUUGAUGUCAAUUCUGAGGUGGAUGGCAAGCAUGAAUUGAGGCAAAGGUGAGGUUUCAUGUCAUGGAUGACACAAGCUUACCAAAGAACAGGAGAUGGAGACCUCAGUCCCACAGGUUUAGCAGUGUUAGAAACAUUCCAAGCAGCCUUAAUGCCAUGGUCAGAUGACCAAAGAAAGUGGUGGAUGGUUCUCCAUCACCAGCAUCAUUUGAGUGAUGGCUCUUUCAGUCUUCUGCCAGGGUUGGAGAAAAGGAUGCCAUGUCUGGAAAACUUUCUUCUUCAUCCCCCAGUGUCCUCAGUCCUGGGACAUGGAGGCAGCUGGCCACCGAGGCUUAGCUGUCCACUCCUGCUUUGACAUGUCUUCUCAAAAUAGUACCAGCCUAUGAGGCCUUAGUUGCUUGAGGUCAAUCCUUUGUGCUGGCCACAUUACAAAGCCUCUGCUUUUUGAGGCCAACAUGGAAAUUUCUCAUUCCCUCUUGAAACAAAAGUACCUAGGACCCAGGAUGACAAUAAGAACUCAUUUUAUAACAUGUUCUAGAUUAACUGCACUGGCUUAAAGGACAUAAAUCAUUCAGUGUACAAAGAAACUCACAGGAUGACCCGGGGUGUCUCAUAGGGAAGGCUAUGAGUAGUCCCUGGAACUUCCUCAGUUUAGUGAUUAUCAGCUGAAUCAUCUCUAGCUGCCAAUAAUUGAAUCAUUGGUUCAUCCUGGUGAACUUAGGACUUAUACUAGUUCUCAUAUUCUUGUAGGAUCAAGAAUCUUUGAUUUCCUGUAUCACUUGUAACUCGGAUUAAAUGUUUGUGAAAAGCUAAGUGUCUUAGUUUGUGUUUGAGAGAUGCAGACUGACACAGGCAUUAGAUUUACUGCUGAGUGGGCUUGGGAACUGCAUGGGAAAGGAAGAAAAUAAAGCAUGGUUGAGAAGGGGGAGGUGAAAUUGUGGGGCUGUUGCAGUAGAAGAUUUGACCAACCCACAAGAAGUUCUUUAGCUAGGGUGGCCUCUAGAGCUAUUAAUUGACCUACCUGGCUGGCGUUUUUAUUCCUUGAUGAAGCCUUUGAAUGUGGUUUCCCCAUGGAAGUGGCAUGAAAUAAUAGGCUGAAAAUAGCUUCCAUUGGAACAAAGCCAUCCCCAGAGAAGGAGGCAUAUCUUGGAGCUUGCAGUCCAGGCAUCGUCAGUGGCACAGUGUGGCACCCAUCUCUGGAAGGAGGUGUUUCCUGUGUUUUUCUAGGAACAGGAAAAUCCUGGCCGUGACCUUUCCCUGGGGAUCUGUUGUCAUCCUCAUCAUCUGAGGUUUCUGUUGCAUCCCAGCAGACUCUGAAUUCCUCAAUUUCAGUACCACAGAUACCUAAUGGGAGAAAAUGCCCCCAAUAUUUCAACGUAGGUUCUAUUUUCCAUAAGUGUCAGCCAGCUGAGAAAUACAGUACAAAGAGGAAUUUUACAGCUGGGCUGCUGGGGUGACGUCACAUAUCCGUAGUACUGUGAUGCCUGCCUGAGUCUCAGACCAGCAAGUUUUUUAUUAAGGGUUGCAAAAGGGGAGGG